rfam:Gossypium raimondii Chr01_contig_307, whole genome shotgun sequence.
UGUUAAAAAUUUCAUCCAUUCCUAUCGUUAAAAACUGACAUGUUUGACAAAAUAACCAAACAGUUACAUGUGUCAUGCCACGUGUGCCUUAUUCUAACAUAUAAGGAACAAUUUUUAACAAUAGAAGUGGAUGAAAUUUUUAAUA